CAUUACCCUUGUUUCAUUACUUUUUCAUGUCAUUUUUUUAUCCCAAAAAAUAUUUUUUAAAAGUUAAAAAAGACAUAUCAAACAUGCAAAUACUUGAAUCCAGCAGGCCAAUAGUGAAAUGUGAACACUUUCUAAUUCUACACUUCCAGGUUGACAUCAGUACACAGAAACAGGCUCUAGGAAAAAUUUCUAAGUUCAUAGCCUAUGUGUGUGUGUGUGUGUGUGUGCGUGUUGAAACAGAAGUGUGUGUGUGCGUGUGUGGCGCGUGCUCCUGCACGGCGUGCAGUUUUCUGUGUUUGUGUGUUUGAAAGCGUGUGAGGAUUUAACUGGGUUUUCCCUUGUAUUCAGUAUAUGCUUUUUUUUUGGCGCAUUGGUCAAACGUUUGUUAUUAUUAGCUUCUAACUUUGCACUGAGUGUCCUCGCCCUUCCUUUAGCUAAUCCUGUACAUUACAGAGAAUUCCUAGGAGAGGGCUGGCGACAAUUCAUGUGUAAAUGUUUACUCAAGGACUCUGUGACUGCGUUUAAAAAGUACAGUGUAUAUCUCUGGAGAAAUAAUAUGUAUACCUACCUUUAGCAGCUUUUUAUUGUGGACUAAUGCAAGAAAAUUAUUACCAGAGUAUUGCACCAUUUUUCCAUUUGGAAUAUAAAGUUAAAGAGAAAAAAAAAAACUGUUGUUGAACUGUGGCCAUAGAUACUUGUAAAGAAUGGAUGGUUCCGCGGAAGGAACAGAAACAAGCACUUGGGCGUGGGUUGUGACUGCUUUUGGGGGAGCCUGGGGUUUGGGCUCCCACCUGUUUACAGACCUUUUUUUCUCCUUCAGACUUUAAAAUUUUAAAAAUUUAAAAAGGAAUUAAGAAAAAAAAAGACUUCUGUCGUAAAGAAACCUAUUUUCAGAAUGCAGAUGCGCUCCUUCAGAGCUCUGGGACGGGACAGUGUUGUUCCCUCAGCCAUCGUCGUGGACUCUGUCGAUUGCUUUCGCCCCUUCGUCAAGGUGACAGGCGUCGUGGCCACUGUCUUGCACAGCCGGACGCGCUCUCAGGAAAGCCAGGGCUCCCGAGGGCAGCUCCACACCAUUUCAUGUAUUUUUAAACCCAACUCCUAGCACUGAAGAUGUUAUUUAAAACAAAACAAAACAAAACAAAAAAAAUGAAAAAAAAGAAAAAGAGGAAAAAAAAACACAAAGAAGAAAAAUACCUAAUCUCUAAUGUGUAGCAGUUACAUAUUUACCAAAUAAUGGACUCAAAAGAAAUAGAUGUUUGAAGAGUGCUUUAUAUAUUAAAAAUUGCUUUAUGUUUUAAAAAUGAUCAAUGUUUUGAUUGUUUUGCAAGGAAGAAAGACAAUGGAAUAACAUACCCUCAAGUAUGUUUUAAAAAUAUAUAUAUAUGAACAUUGUGCUCCCUGCCUGCUUGAUCAGGAAACUUGUGCAUUACAUUUUUUUUAAUUAGCUUUUUAAUGGUUUUAUCAAAACAAAAAAAAUACAAAAAAAAAAAAAAGUCCUGCAAGAUUGCAGAUCCACAAAAGCUGGUUUUAUAGAGGAUCAUGAACUAUGCACAAACUGGGUUCAAGACUUUUUUUCUCAAGUUUAGUAGGAUAUUUAGCAAAACCAACCUUCCUCAGAGUGACUGCAUCUCAUUGCCAUGACAUGCGUUCUAUAUAUUCGAUGGACAUACACCUGCGUAUGUGUAUCCAAUAUGUGUGCGUGUGAGCGUGCGUGUGCGUAUGUACGCCCGACAUACCACUUCCUGUGCUGCCGGCGAGCAUUGAGUUGUAGAAAAACUGUUUUAAAAUUGGGGAUGGAAGUCAAGAAUAUGUUUGUUUGUUUUUGGGUUUUGUUGGGUUUGUUUGAGGUUUUGUUUGUUUUUUUGUUUUUACCUUUUAUUUUGAACUUAGUAUGUCUGUAACUCUGAGAUUAAAAAACAAGUUUGUGGCUCUUAAUGUUUUCCUCAUAGAAUGUGAUUCUUGAAGAACAUGCAUCGAAAGUUGCUUUCGAAAGUACAACGCUUUAUUGAAUCUUAAUAAAUUGCAAUUUUUUUUCUUGGCUGUUCAAA